UGCUCCCAAACCAAGAACAGUCCCCAGUCGUGCCUCAGGCCCCGGCACCCGCGGCGCUCUGCGGCAAGCGCGCGGACGCUGAGUGCGGUGUCACUGCCACCAAGUCCUUUUCUUCCGCGGAGGGAGCCUGCCCUUUACCUCUUGUAGAGUGCAAAUUCCUUACGUCCCCUCCUCCCGCUCCCCUGGGUGGGAGAAGAGAUGCGGAAUUAGGCUGAAGUGAAUAUUCUGCGUGUUCUCUAAUUACGUACACGCUGAAAUCUUCACCAUUGACUUAAGUUAUUUGGCGCUGCAAGGGCUGGGGCCCCGAGUAUUGAUUAAACGCAGCCUCUUAUUUACCCAAACAAUAAAUGUAGAGAUUAGCAACGUUCACUUGAUCACAAUAAUGGGGUUGACAAUUAAAGGCAAUGCAUCCCAGAUGUAACGGAGCGUAUGGUAGGCAGGCGGGCUGUGGGCUUCUCAGAGAGGGGCGCUCACGAAGCUGCGGCUGCGGAGUUGCGGAGCCCGGCUGGCUAGAGCAGGAGGCAGCGCGCGAGCGCGGCAGGAGACAGAGGGGAGGCCCAGACGCGUCAAGACCGCCGACCACAGUGCCCAGGAGGUCCGCGGCUGUUUUGGGGGCGUCUGAACACUGCCACUCCCCCGGAGGCAUGUGGAACGCGGAGCUGGCUUCCUCAAGGUGAUGUGCUCUGCCCCAAGGCGGCGUCGCCUGUGCUGCCUGGGAAGGAGGACGGAAGCGCUGGCUUGUGCCGGGACGUAAGCAAGAGGAUUCGUCCCAGUCCCCCUUGAACAAGCCAGGACGAAGCCCUUUCCCGCCAAACCACCAAGGCCGGGGAAUAAACAGCGCAUGCCCAAGCUCUGGGUUUGGGAGCCCCGGCGAAGACUUGAGCGGCUCUGGAAAAACUGACCGGAAUUUUCUUGUCGCGAGAAGACCUACGAGUGUCUCUAGCAGAGGAGACAACUACAGACUUUGGGCCGGCAAGCAGCGUUGGAGCAGGUGGUGGCGGGGCCAGCUUUGAUCGCUUCAGCUCUGUCGUAAUUUUUUGUCUACUCCAGAUAGAUUAGCUAAAAUAGUCAGCCCUGGUGAAGAGUUCGGUUCCGCGGAGUCCCCUCCCUCCCCAUCCCCCGCGUCAUCUGCGCACCCGAAGCCGGGUCGCAGCUCCUCCCCGAGCCUCGGCAGAAACUUCAAGGGCUAAUGGUUCUGUGUUCAUGAGGUAAUUAGGAGGCCACACAGCUCCCCAAUACUCCGUUAAACAAACAUGUAAGUCACCCUCCCUCUCUCCGGGGACAGACCGGGGGAUGGGAGGCAGCUGGGAACUUUCCGGCCGCCGGGCCCCGCGCCGGGGCAUCCUCCGCGGGGUGAGUGGCGUCGCUGUGACCAUAGGCAGCUGCUCAAGGCCUCGGUUUCUAAGCUAUUUCUUAGAGUAGAGAGGGGCAAAGAAUGUGCAUCUGGCCACCCACCGGAAAAGCCAGACCAGUCUGUGUCUUUGCGUGAAAAGUUUUUGGUUUUGUUUUAAAUAAAUUGCUUUCGUGGUUCUAGAUUGUGACGGACAGAUACUGGCCAUGGUUGUUCUCCAGAACAGAGGGACGGAUGUAAAGGAUUUGGAGUCGUUCUCCCCCCACCCUUUCUUUUUCUUCGCCAUAUAAAUCAGCCAUAUAAAUCAUUCUCAUUGUUUAAGGUACAUUGAUCAAUCUAAUGGCUUGUAAUAGGCUCCUAAUUGCCACUUACAGAGUCCUGUAGGCUCGCGUUUGAACAGGGAAGAUUCUUGAUUCCAAGUCGAAGUCCACUUUAGGCUUGAGACUGGACGAUUAAAAAACCCAGGAAGAGCACCAACACCUGCCAGGCCACUUUGGUCUCAGUGCCAGUCUCAGGAGAGAGAGGAAAGGGUAGGGUACUGAGGGCAUUUGCUAUUUGUGUUUUUCAAAUCUCAUUUGCAAAUCAGUAAUUCAUUAAUGAGCAAAGUUACCACUGUGAUUUAUUGGUCAUUGAUGCUUGAGGAUCAUUUUGUAAU